GGAAUCUUGCGCAAUGCGCGAAAGCGUGACGCAGCAACGCCGCGUGAGGGAAGACGGCCUUCGGGUUGUAAACCUCUUUCAGUUGGGACGAAGCUUCGCCGGUGAACAGCCGGCUGGAGUGACGGUACCUUCAGAAGAAGCCCCGGCUAACUACGUGCCAGCAGCCGCGGUAAUACGUAGGCAGCAAGCGUUGUUCGGAAUUACUGGGCGUAAAGGGCGCGUAGGCGGCCUGCUAAGUCGAACGUGAAAUCCCCGGGCUCAACCCGGGAACUGCGUUCGAUACUGGUUGGCUUGAAUCCGGGAGAGGGAUGCGGAAUUCCAGGUGUAGCGGUGAAAUGCGUAGAUAUCUGGAGGAACACCGGUGGCGAAGGCGGCAUCCUGGACCGGCAUUGACGCUGAGGCGCGAAAGCCAGGGGAGCAAACGGGA
rnacentral:misc_RNA from 1 species